GAUGAACGCUGGCGGCGUGCUUAACACAUGCCAGUCGAACGGAAAGGCCACAGCUUGCUGUGGUACUCGAGUGGCGAACGGGUGAGUAACACGUGGGUGAUCUGCCCUGUACUUCGGGAUAAGCUUGGGAAACUGGGUCUAAUACCGGCUAGGAAUCACAUGUGGGUGUGUGGUUGGAAAGCUUUUGCGGUAUGGGAUGAGCUCGCGGCCUAUCAGCUUGUUGGUGGGGUAAUGGCCUACCAAGGCGUCGACGGGUAGCCGGCCUGAGAGGGUGUACGGCCACAUUGGGACUGAGAUACGGCCCAGACUCCUACGGGAGGCAGCAGUGGGGAAUAUUGCACAAUGGGCGCAAGCCUGAUGCAGCGACGCCGCGUGGGGGAUGACGGCCUUCGGGUUGUAAACUCCUUUCGUCAGGGACGAAGCGAAAGUGACGGUACCUGGAUAAGAAGCACCGGCUAACUACGUG
rnacentral:rRNA from 1 species